rnacentral:lncRNA from 1 species
AACUUGCCAACCAGCUAGAGCAAACUAUUACCUUUCAACUGCUGUUUAGUGCAGCUUUACGCGACUUGCGAUUGGCAAGUUACAAAGCGUGAAGUCCAGCAAUGUUUCCCAGAACCAGUCCGAUCGGGAAAAAACUGUUUUCAGCUGAAUUUGAGCUCAGCAAACAUUUUCCGAAAUAAUUAUAAGCAUAGUUGUUCCCGAACAUGUGAAAAAGCACACAAAUGUGUUUGCUCAGUUUCAGAUUUCACUCAACAGCUCGGACAAAUGUACGAACAGCACGCUGAGGAAAUGCAGAUGUUGGUCGCUAACUUUCGGAAGCGAAACAACGAACUGCGCAAAGAACGGCCGGCGUGUCCCAGCUCAUUAUUUCAUACCUGGGAGGCUCUACUUCAGGAAGUCGAGAUCGAUUCUCAGGUAAUAAUUUUAUCAAGGCUAAGAUUAGAGAGAUUGCGAAUUGCAUAAAAAUCUAAAUUAACGUUUACAGCAUUUUUGCCGUUGUCGCAAUGAUGUGCGACUGUGUGAUAAAACCUUUAUCUAAAAAACUGCACUUAUUAUUUUAUAU